rfam:Triticum aestivum genome assembly, contig: Triticum_aestivum_CS42_TGACv1_scaffold_210712_3AS
UUAUUAUUAUCUCCGUCCCAAAUUACUUGUCUUAAAUUUGUCUACACAUAGAUGGAUCUAACACCAAAAUGUAUCUACAUACAUUCGUAUGUAGUAAAAUCCAAGACAAGUAAUUCGGGACGGAGCUAGUAUGUA